rnacentral:rRNA from 1 species
GACGAACGCUGGCGGCGUGCUUAACACAUGCAAGUCGAACGGUGAAGCGCUUGCCUUUUUGGUGGGUGUGGAUGAGUGGCGAACGGGUGAGUAACACGUGAGUAACCUGCCCUCUUCUUCUGGAUAACCUCAUGAAAGUGGGGCUAAUACGGGGUAUUCCGGGUCUGUCGCAUGGCGGGUUUGGGAAAGAUUGCGCCUUUGGGUGUUUUCGGUGGGGGAUGGGCUCGCGGCCUAUCAGCUUGUUGGUGGGGUGAGGGCCUACCAAGGCGGUGACGGGUAGCCGGCCUGAGGGGGUGGACGCCCGAACUGGGACUGAGACACGGCCCAGACUCCUGCGGGAGGCGGCAGUGGGGAAUAUUGCGCGAUGGGCGCAAGCCUGAUGCAGCGACGCCGCGUGAGGGAUGGAGGCCUUCGGGUUGUGAACCUCUUUCGCCAGUGAAGCAGGCCUGCUCCUGUGUGGGUGGGUUGACGGUAGCUGGAUAAGAAGCGCCGGCUAACUACGUG